GCCCAGGGGGCCAAGGAGGGCAACGGCAUCCUGGCUGGUGUCAGCACUGGCGUGGCCAGCAGGGACAGGGAAGGGAUCUGAGCCCUGGGCUGGGCACUGGGGAGGCCGCCCCUCGAUUCCAUUGGAAAUGGCAAGUCCGGAGGCACAGAGGGAUCGGCGGGAAACGCCCCACUAGUCGCUACCCCCACAUUGGGACGGGAAGCAAAGACGGUCCCGUGAAGGUCCCGACGCGGCUCUCGGGCCUUGCACGCAGGCGGGCAGAAAGCGCCUCGUCCCACGGCGCCAGGCCUGGCCUCGGCUACGGGGUCUCUCAGCUACGUUGGCCCCGGGGCCCUGUGGGUUUGUCUCUGAGCCUCCAAGCGUGCCGUGCCGCGCCGGGCCAACACAGGGGUCCCUGAUUUCCAGGGGGACACCCCAGCUCCUCCUGAGCCCCUCGCAGGGGGAAGGGCGUGGCAGUGGGGGGCUGCCCGGUGUAAGAAAGGCGUCUUGGCCCACCCUGUGAUGUCACAAAGUGAGCUUUGGCAACCCUGUGAUGUCACAAAGGGGGCUCCGCCCACCUGCCCCAAUAUAAAAGGCAGCAGCCGCACUGGGGCCACAGCCAUGGCGGGUGACAAGGAGCCCACCCUGCACCAGCUACUUCCGAUGCUGAUGCUCGCGCUGCUGCUCAGGCUGACGCAGGCCGUAUCGAUGGUCGCGACAUUCUGUGUAGGUGACGCCGCCCCGUGCUGUGCCAGGGGGUGGGAUGCUGUGGGGUUGGGGGGGGGCUGUGGCUUGGGCCUCACAGCUACUCCCAUCUCACCCAUCUCUUGUGGUCCUGCAAGGGAUGAGGAAAAAGGAGAAAUGCAGAAGGAGAAAGCCCAGUUUCUGAGUCCCAGAGUUCUUCCACCACCGGAAUUUUCGGUAUCCCGUUGGUGGCAACGCCAGUCCCAGAGGAGCAACGGGGGUGUAGGACUGGGAAGCUCCCUGGGGAGAUGACUGCUGAGAAAAUAAAAAUGAUCUUUCCUCCA
rnacentral:lncRNA from 1 species